rnacentral:rRNA from 1 species
UACGUAGGGGGCAAGCGUUGUCCGGAUUUACUGGGCGUAAAGAGCGCGCAGGCGGUCGAUCAAGUCGAGUGUGAAAGCCCCCGGCUCAACUGGGGAGGGUCAUUCGAUACUGAUCGACUCGAAGGCAGGAGAGGGUAGUGGAAUUCCCGGUGUAGUGGUGGAAUGCGUAGAUAUCGGGAGGAACACCAGUGGCGAAGGCGACUACCUGGCCUGUUCUUGACGCUGAGGCGCGAAAGCUAGGGGAGCAAACGGG